rnacentral:rRNA from 1 species
UACGGAGGGGGCUAGCGUGGUUCGGAAUUACUGGGCGUAAAGCGCACGUAGGCGGCUUUGUAAGUUAGAGGUGAAAGCCCGGGGCUCAACCCCGGAAUUGCCUUUAAGACUGCAUCGCUAGAAUUGUGGAGAGGUAAGUGGAAUUCCGAAUGUAGAGGUGAAAUUCGUAGAUAUUCGGAAGAACACCAGUGGCGAAGGCGACUUACUGGACACAUAUUGACGCUGAGGUGCGAAAGCGUGGGGAGCAAACAGG